rnacentral:rRNA from 1 species
UAGCAGAGGAUGCAAGCGUUUAUCCGGAAUGAUUGGGCGUAAAGCGUCUGUAGGUGGCUUUUAAGUCCGCCGUCAAAAUCCCAGGGCUCAACUCUGGACAGGCGGUGGAAACUACCAAAGCUUGAGUACGGUAGGGGCAGAGGGAAUUUCCGGUGGAGCGGUGAAAUGCGUAGAGAUCGGAAAGAACACCAACGGCGAAAGCACUCUGCUGGGCCGACACUGACACUGAGAGACGAAAGCUAGGGGAGCGAAUGGG